AUGCAAAAUUAACUGAAAUUCACUAGGUGUGAGUUUUGUGAUCCUAUUGGCCAUUAUCGCCUGUAUUAACUGUGUAUUGUGAUACUAUGAAAUUUUAAAGGAUUUUUCGUUUUUUGUUUUACAUUAGUGGUUCUUAACCUUUUUCGAUUUAGCGCUCCUUCAUCGAGAUAACUGAAUGAUAACACCCCCUCACCCAAAAUUAUAGGCUUACCUUGGUGUUUUGCUGAUACCUUUUUUUUUUCUCAUCAGUCAUUAUACCGAGUA